AUGAAGUUCACCACGUACGACAAUGCAUGUGACUUUUACAACACAUAUGCAAGAUAUGUAGGGUUUGUCAUAUGCAAGAGGGCAAAACACACGAAAAAUGCCUACAUUGCCUAUUCAAGAGAACGGACGCACAAGCAGACUGUGUCAGAUUAUGACCGGAAACGUGAGAAGACAUCAAAAAGGAUUGGCUGCAAGGCAAGAAUUAGAGUCAAAAAGAGGAAGAAUGGCAGUUUUGUGAUAGAAGUGGUUGAGCUCAACCACAAUCACAAGAUGCUAGAAAGCCACGGGAUGCUUUUGCAUAUGCACUCGCACAAAAGAGACAAUCCUUUGAUUGACCAGUUGUUGAAGGACAUGCAGUUGGACAACCACACAUAUGCACAGAUGAUGUCAAUGGUGUCACAUAUGUACGAUGGUCUGCAGUUCAUGGGACAUACUAGCCGCGGCUGGGUCAACAAGAAACAAAAGUUUGCUAGAGAAGAGUCUCAAGAUGACGUCAAGAAACUUCUGGAUUUCUUCGAGAAGACGCAGAAGAUCAACCCAGAGUUCUUCUAUGAUUACGAUGUCAAUGUAGAUAAUUGUGUAAGAAAUGUCUUUUGGGCCAAUGCAAGUUGCAAAGGAUCAUAUGUAGAUUUUGGAGACUACGUUACAUUUGACACGACAUAUAAAACUAACAAAUUCGACAUGCCGCUGGGAGUCUUUGUGGGAGUGAACCAUCAUCUACAGAGCACCAUAUUUGCUGUCACCCUUGUGUGAGAUGAAAUGACACCGUUGUUCAAGUGAGACCAAUGUUCUUUGAUGAUGGCAGCAUUAAAAACUAGCCUCCUGAAUACAUUACAUAAGUUGUGUCGGUGGCACAUCAUGAAGAAGUACAAAGACCACAAUGCCUUGUUGUAUAAGGCGCACGAGAAACUCAAGGAUGAACUCACUGCGGUGCUGAACCACCCACUAAUGCCGUCAGAAUUUGAACGGGCAUGGAAGGACCUCAUGCAGAAAUACAAGUUGCAAAACGACAAAGUGAUGAAUUCGUUGUGGGAUGACAGGCACGAGUGGAUCUUGGCUUACUACAAGGAAAUUUUCUGUGCUCGGAUGACUUCCACGCAGAGAAGCGAGAGAAUGAACUGUAUAUUGAAGAAGAACUUCGUCAAAGAGAAGCAUGAUCUCCAUCUAUUUGCUCAACAGGUGGACAAGUGCAUUCAGACCAGGAAGGCCGUCGAGCACGCAGAGACAGUUGGAAAUGAGUCAUAAGUAAAGACAACGACCCAGUUUGGGUUCGAACUACAACUGCCAAAAGUAUACACAAGGACAAUUUUUGCAAAUUUCAAAGAGACACUCUACCGCAGCACUACAUUCAGAGCAGAACAGUGCCCUAAGAACCCAACAAAAUACCUCAUACACCACUACAACAUAUCAGAUGCAUUUGAUUGGGUAAGGCAUGAUUCCCAAGUGGUCACCCAUGAUACAAAAAGUGUCUAUGAAUGUGAGUGCAAACUCUGGACACACACAGGUGCGGCUCGCUAG
rnacentral:rRNA from 1 species